rnacentral:rRNA from 1 species
ACGUUAGCGGCGGACGGGUGAGUAACACGUGGGUAACCUACCUAUAAGACUGGGAUAACUUCGGGAAACCGGAGCUAAUACCGGAUAAUAUUUCGAACCGCAUGGUUCGAUAGUGAAAGAUGGUUUUGCUAUCACUUAUAGAUGGACCCGCGCCGUAUUAGCUAGUUGGUAAGGUAACGGCUUACCAAGGCGACGAUACGUAGCCGACCUGAGAGGGUGAUCGGCCACACUGGAACUGAGACACGGUCCAGACUCCUACGGGAGGCAGCAGG